rnacentral:rRNA from 1 species
AUUGAACGCUGGCGGCAGGCCUAACACAUGCAAGUCGAACGGUAACAGGAAGACGCUUGCUUCUUUGCUGACGAGUGGCGGACGGGUGAGUAAUGUCUGGGAAACUGCCUGAUGGAGGGGGAUAACUACUGGAAACGGUAGCUAAUACCGCAUAACGUCGCAAGACCAAAGAGGGGGACCUUCUGGCCUCUUGCCAUCGGAUGUGCCCAGAUGGGAUUAGCUAGUAGGUGGGGUAACGGCUCACCUAGGCGACGAUCCCUAGCUGGUCUGAGAGGAUGACCAGCCACACUGGAACUGAGACACGGUCCAGACUCCUACGGGAGGCAGCAGUGGGGAAUAUUGCACAAUGGGCGCAAGCCUGAUGCAGCCAUGCCGCGUGUAUGAAGAAGGCCUUCGGGUUGUAAAGUACUUUCAGCGGGGAGGAAGGGAGUAAAGUUAAUACCUUUACUCAUUGACGUUACCCGCAGAAGAAGCACCGGCUAACUCCGUG